CAGGUCUUGACAUCCCACUGACCGGUGUAGAGAUACGCUUUCCCUUCGGGGACAGUGCUGACAGGUGGUGCAUGGUUGUCGUCAGCUCGUGUCGUGAGAUGUUGGGUUAAGUCCCGCAACGAGCGCAACCCUUGAUCUUAGUUGCCAGCAUUCAGUUGGGCACUCUAAGGUGACUGCCGGUGAUAAACCGGAGGAAGGUGGGGAUGACGUCAAAUCAUCAUCGCCCCUUAUGACCUGGGCUACACACGUGCUACAAUGGAUGAUACAGAGGGUUGCCAACCCGCGAGGGGGAGCCAAUCCCAUAAAAUCAUUCCCAGUUCGGAUUGGAGGCUGCAACUCGCCUCCAUGAAGCCGG
rnacentral:rRNA from 1 species